AGUGAGAUUGCUGAGUUGUAUGGUAAGUUAAUUUUUAAGAAAUUGCCAAAUUAUUUUCCAAAGUUGCUGUACCAUUUUGCAUUCCCACUCACAAU
rnacentral:pre_miRNA from 1 species